UACGUAGGGUGCGAGCGUGUCCGGAAUUAUUGGGCGUAAAGAGCUCGUAGGCGGUUCGUCGCGUCGGCUGUGAAAUCCCGAGGCUCAACCUCGGGUCUGCAGUCGAUACGGGCGGACUGGAGUUCGGCAGGGGAGACUGGGAAUUCCUGGUGUAGCGGUGAAAUGCGCAGAUAUCAGGAGGAACACCGGUGGCGAAGGCGGGUCUCUGGGCCGAUACUGACGUGAGGAGCGAAAGCGUGGGGAGCGAACAGG
rnacentral:rRNA from 1 species